UACGUAGGUGACAAGCGUUGUCCGGAUUUACUGGGCGUAAAGAGCGCGCAGGCGGUCGUUCAAGUCGAGUGUGAAAGCCCCCGGCUCAACUGGGGAGGGUCAUUCGAUACUGUUCGACUCGAAGGCAGGAGAGGGAAGUGGAAUUCCCGGUGUAGUGGUGAAAUGCGUAGAUAUCGGGAGGAACACCAGUGGCGAAGGCGACUUCCUGGCCUGUUCUUGACGCUGAGGCGCGAAAGCUAGGGGGAGCAAACGGGG
rnacentral:rRNA from 1 species